rnacentral:lncRNA from 1 species
UACUGGCCACAGUAGUUAGGGAACCUAGGAAGAUAGUACCUGACAACAGAAGAGAAUUCCUGGCUAAAGAUCAGUGUGCCUAAUACGAAGAAAAAGGACAUUGGGUCAGGGACUGCCCCAGAAAGAACAAGAGGGGACACUGGAGAGCCUCUUGGUGCUGGCUAUGCACAGAGAUGGAAGGGAAGCCCGCCCAGUUGUUUUGUGGAUACAGGGACCCAAUGCUCUGUGCUCCUAUGCUCCAGUGGGCCAGUAUCCAAAGACCUUUGGUACAGGGGCCUACUGACAACAAACAAUACUUAUGGACUGCCCGAAGAACAGUGGACCUUGGCGUGGGCCGGGUAACCCACCCACUAAUUCAUGGUCAUCCCUGACUGCCCCUAUCCCUUGCUCAUGAGAAAAUUGCUCUCCAAAUUGGCUUGCGUGGGCUGAAAUGGCUGGAUGAGGCCAUGUGUAUACAUAUCUAUAGACUGUAUAUGUAGAGCUUAAGACCUGUCUCAGUACACCAGUAACUGAUGCUGGGAGAUGAAUGAGUUAGUGCUUUU